GAAAUGCGAUACGUAAUGUGAAUUGCAGAAUUCGUGAAUCAUCGAAACUUUGAACGCAAAUUGCGCUCUCGAUUCACGUCGGGAGCAUGCCUGCUUGAGUGUCAGUAACCUCACCUCACACGCGCGCACGCAAGUGCCCGUAUGUAUGUAUGUCUGUGAGCGUGUGUGUGUGUGUGUGGUGCAGGCGCGUCGUCCACGUUCGUGUAAUGUACGUCAUCAGACGUUUUCCUCACGAGCGCGGUCGCGCACAUGCCGAGGUCGCCGCACGUUCACAUGAGAGUGAAGCUCCACCAGGGCCGCCUGGUGAACGUUUGUAUAUGUGUUGUUGUAUGUGGCUUUGUCACACAAAGACACGCACACACACACACACAUCGCGCACUCAACCUUUGACCUCAAGUCAGGUAGGAGGACCCGCUGAAUUUAA
rnacentral:misc_RNA from 1 species